UUUGGCGAGUGAAGAUUUGAGUGGACCAACACCGUGUACAUACUCACCACCAGGAAGAGCAUUGCAGGAGACGAACAGUCCUGGGUAUACAAUGGGAUAUAAACGUGUAGAGAAACUUGGUGGUGGUCAACGAGCUUGGUCUAAGUCGUGGUUUACAACAGACAAUGUCUGGACAAACAAGACGAAAUAGGUCAAGUGUUACAGACUACAACCUUUCCACCACUUUAGGUCACUACGUAACUUGCAGUUCCCAACAGCCAUCGUUUUCCAUGCAAUCAAGAGAAGGCUUU